rnacentral:rRNA from 1 species
UACGUAGGGCGCAAGCGUUGUCCGGAAUUAUUGGGCGUAAAGAGCUCGUAGGCGGUUUGUCGCGUCGGAUGUGAAAGCCCGGGGCUUAACCCCGGGUCUGCAUUCGAUACGGGCAGACUGGAGUGUGGUAGGGGAGAUCGGAAUUCCUGGUGUAGCGGUGAAAUGCGCAGAUAUCAGGAAGAACACCAAUGGCGAAGGCAGCUCUCUGGGACGGUACUGACGCUGAGACGCGAAAGCGUGGGGAGCGAACAGG